rnacentral:lncRNA from 1 species
UGAUAGUCCCGAAAAAUUUUAGGCCAUAGGGGUCAGGAGGUCCCGGAACCACUCAGAAGGCGUGGGCUAUAACACACAAAAAUAUGGGAAUCGCGCGUAAUUCUAGGUGUUUGGCCGAAAAACGCAAAAAAUGUGGAAAGAUCUUGGCAAGGCGGUGACUAUGGUUCCUUUGGUCUUAUUUGAUAGUCCGGAAAAAUAUUAGGCAAUAGGGGUCCGGAGGUCCCGGGACCACUCGGAAGACGUGGGCUAUAACACACAAAAAUAUGGGAAUCGAGCGCAAUUCUAGUUGUUUGGCCGAAAAACGUAAAACAUGAGGAACGAUCAUGGCGGGGCUGUGACUAUGGUACCUUAGGUCAUAUUUGAUAGUCCGAAAAAUUUUUAGACGUUCGGGGUCCGGGAGCCCACGCCCACUCGGAAGGCGUGGGCUAUAGCACACAAAAAUAUGGGAAUCGGGCGAAAUUCUAGUUGUUUUUCAGUAACAUGCAAAAAAUGUGGAAAGAUCUUGGCAGGGCGGUGACUAUGGUUCCUUAGGUCGUAUUUGAUAGUCCGGAAAAAUUUUAGGCGAUCGGGAUCCGGAGACCCGGGACCACUCGGAAGGCGUGGGCUAUAACACACAAAAAUAUGGGAUCGCCCGAAAUUCUAGUUAUUUGGCCGAAAAACGCAAAAAAUGAGGAACAAUCAUCGCGGGGCGGUGACUAUGGUUCCUUAGGUCUUAAUUGAUGGCCCGGUAAAUUUUUAGGCGAUCGGGGUUCGGGGUUCCCGGGACCCUUUGGAAGGCGUGGGCUAAAGCACACGAAAAUAUAGAAAUCGCUAGGAAUUC